rnacentral:rRNA from 1 species
GAUGAACGCUGGCGGCGUGCCUAAUACAUGCAAGUCGAGCGAACAGACGAGGAGCUUGCUCCUCUGACGUUAGCGGCGGACGGGUGAGUAACACGUGGAUAACCUACCUAUAAGACUGGGAUAACUUCGGGAAACCGGAGCUAAUACCGGAUAAUAUAUUGAACCGCAUGGUUCAAUAGUGAAAGACGGUUUUGCUGUCACUUAUAGAUGGAUCCGCGCCGCAUUAGCUAGUUGGUAAGGUAACGGCUUACCAAGGCAACGAUGCGUAGCCGACCUGAGAGGGUGAUCGCCCACACUGGAACUGAGACACGGUCCAUACUCCUACGGGAGGCAGCAGUAGGGAAUCUUCCGCAAUGGGCGAAAGCCUGACGGAGCAACGCCGCGUGAGUGAUGAAGGUCUUCGGAUCGUAAAACUCUGUUAUUAGGGAAGAACAAAUGUGUAAGUAACUAUGCACGUCUUGACGGUACCUAAUCAGAAAGCCACGGCUAACUACGUG